AUUUUUUUGGUUUUUAUCAGGGUGCCUCUCACCUUGCUUAUUGAGCCUAACAGAAAAUUAACAUAAAACAAACAACCCUUCUAAUGAAUUAAAAAAAAAGCAGUUGAAGAUACAAGAAGGGACAUUCUUUACAUCUGUGGCUGAACUCACCAGUGGACAAGAGCAGCACUUUCUUUCUUUCUGUGGUUGUAUGUUUGAGUAUGAGUGUUAGCAGGGAUACUUUGUGGUUGAACUAAACCCAACAGACUAACGGACUGAAACCACAUGGUUGGAAACCAUUGGUGUUUUCUGCCAGUCAAACCACUCCCAGAGGCAAAGCUGUAUUCCCCCCCAUGCGCAAGCUGCUUGAGGUAGCAGUAGAGAGGGUAGUGAUUCAAUAUGCUUUCAAUUAAAAGAAAACGGGAAGGUAAAUGGAAAUGCCUUUAGUGAUUCUUGUUGUAUGUGUCUUUUAGUAUAAUGUAUAUAGACCUUAUUAAAAUAAGUUUUGGGGUCUUGAUAGAUGCAAGCCCCCGGCCAUGUUGGGGGACUUAAAGUCAUAGCAUCUCACACAUCCCUUGGUAACCUUGCGUCAUUGAUACGAGUGGACAAGCCUCCACACCAGCAUCAUCAUCAUCAUCAUCAUCAUCAUCAUCAUCAUCAUCAUCAUCAUCAUCGUCUUUGACAGAGAUUAUAACGUUUGUAUGGAUGAGAAUAUCAUUUGACUUGUUAGUUUAUGCUGCAAUCAUUUUUAGGUUUCUUUUAAUAUUGUGUGGUUCGAAUUUCUCUCUGAACUUGAUGACAAUGUUGGUAUUGAUGUUGUUUUUUUUUGAUUUGUGUUGAUAACAUUCCAAUUAGGUUUGGGUUUUUUAUUGCUUUAGGAUUUGUUUUUGUCUCGUUUUUUUUCUUUUGUUUUGUUUCGGUAGAAAAUUGUAAGAUUUUAUACAUUUAUGUUGUUGUGUGUUCACCUCUUUUCUCUGAGUGUGUUAACAAUUCAUGCUGGUCAUGUACACAUUAAAAAAAAAAACUUGAAAUACUGA
ensembl:lncRNA